CCCAGCCCGCUCAGAAACUUAAAGGAAUUGACGGGGGCCCGCACAAGCGGUGGAGCAUGUGGUUUAAUUCGAUGAUACGCGAGGAACCUUACCUGGGCUCAAAUGUAUGUUGACGUAUUCUGAAAGGGAUACUUCUUCGGACAAUAUACAAGGUGCUGCAUGGUUGUCGUCAGCUCGUGCCGUGAGGUGUCGGGUUAAGUCCCAUAACGAGCGCAACCCCUAUCAUUAGUUGCCAUCAGGUCAAGCUGGGGACUCUAAUGAAACUGCCUACGCAAGUAGUGAGGAAGGUGGGGAUGACGUCAAGUCAUCGUGGCCCUUAUGUCCAGGGCGACACACGUGCUACAAUGGCCGGCACAACGGGAAGCGAGUUCGCGAGGACGAGCGGAUCCCUCAAAGCCGGUCGCAGUUCGGAUUGAAGUCUGCAACUCGACUUCAUGAAGCUGGAAUCGCUAGUAAUCGUGGAUCAGCCAAGCCGCGGUGAAUACGUUCCCGGGCCUU
rnacentral:rRNA from 1 species